AGUGGGAUAGCUGGGUCAAAUGGUGAUUCCAUUCCAAGUUUUCUAAGGAAUCUCCAUACUGCUUUCCAGAUUGGCUGCACAAAUUUGCAGUCCUACCAGCAAU
rnacentral:pre_miRNA from 1 species